CNUACGGGAGGCAGCAUCCUNCGGGGAGGCAGCAGUGGGGAAUAUUGCACAACGGGGGAAACCCUGAUGCAGCAACGCCGCGUGAGUGAUGANGGUCUUNGGAUUGUAAAANUCUGUCUUUAGGGACGAUAAUGACGGUACCUNAGGAGGAAGCCACGNCUAAUUACNUNCCAGCAGCCGCGGUAAUAAGUAGGUGGCAAGCGUUGUCCNGAUUUNUUGGGNGUAAAGGGAGNGUAGGUGGAUAUUUAANUGGGAUGUGAAAUACUCGGGCUUAACCUGGGUGGUGCAUUCCAAACUGGAUAUNUNGAGUGCAGGAGAGGAAAGUAGAAUUCNUAGUGUAGCGGUGAAAUGNGUAGAGAUUAGGAAGAAUACCAGUGGCGAAGGAGACUUUUUGGACUGUAACUNACAAUGAGGCUGGAAAGCGUGGGGAGCAAACAGGAUUAGAUACCCCCGUAGUGCACCCCGUAANCGAUGAAUANUAGGUGUAGGGGUUGUCAUGACCUCUGUGCCGCNGCUAACGCAUUAAGUAUCCGCC
rnacentral:rRNA from 1 species